rnacentral:rRNA from 1 species
GGAGUUUGGACCGUGUCUCAGUUCCAAUGUGGGGGACCUUCCUCUCAGAACCCCUACUGAUCGUGGGCUUGGUGGGCCGUUACCCCGCCAACAACCUAAUCAGACGCAUCCCCAUCCUAUACCGGUAAACCUUUGCUUCAUUUCAGAUGUCUUCUACGAAGAACAUAGAGUAUUAAUCCGACUUUCGCCGGGCUAUCCUCUAGUAUAGGGAAGGUUGGAUACGCGUUACUCACCCGUGCGCCGGUCGCCAUCUAUCAAAGCAAGCUUCGAUAAUGAUGCCCCUCGACUUGCAUGUGUUAAGCCUGUAGCUAGCGUUCAUC